rnacentral:rRNA from 1 species
UGCAGAAUCCCGUGAACCAUCGAGUCUUUGAACGCAAGUUGCGCCUGAAGCCACUAGGCCAAGGGCACGUCUGCCUGGGUGUCA